rnacentral:rRNA from 1 species
UAAUACGUAGGUGGCAAGCGUUGUCCGGAAUUAUUGGGCGUAAAGGGCUCGCAGGCGGUUUCUUAAGUCUGAUGUGAAAGCCCCCGGCUCAACCGGGGAGGGUCAUUGGAAACUGGGGAACUUGAGUGCAGAAGAGGAGAGUGGAAUUCCACGUGUAGCGGUGAAAUGCGUAGAGAUGUGGAGGAACACCAGUGGCGAAGGCGACUCUCUGGUCUGUAACUGACGCUGAGGCGCGAAAGCGUGGGGAGCAAACAGGAUUAGAUACCCUGGUAGUCCACGCCGUAAACGAUGAGUGCUAAGUGUUAGAGGGUUUCCGCCCUUUAGUGCUGCAGCUAACGCAUUAAGCACUCCGCCUGGGGAGUACGACCGCAAGGUUGAA